GACACGACUCUCGACAAUGGAUAUCUCGGCUCUCGCAUCGAUGAAGAGCGCAGCGAAAUGCGAUACGUGGUGCGAAUUGCAGAAUCCCGCGAACCAUCGAGUCUUUGAACGCAAGUUGCGCCCGAGGCCAUUCGGUCGAGGGCACGUCCGCCUGGGCGUCAAGC
rnacentral:rRNA from 10 species